rnacentral:rRNA from 1 species
UACGUAGGGUGCGAGCGUUAAUCGGAAUUACUGGGCGUAAAGCGUGCGCAGGCGGUUCGUUGUGUCGGCGGUGAAAGCCCCGGGCUUAACCUGGGAAUGGCCGUCGAAACUUGCGAACUGGAGUGUGGCAGAGGGGGGUGGAAUUCCGCGUGUAGCAGUGAAAUGCGUAGAGAUGCGGAGGAACACCGAUGGCGAAGGCAGCCCCCUGGGCUGACACUGACGCUCAGGCACGAAAGCGUGGGGAGCAAACAGG